CCUACGGGAGGCAGCAGUGGGGAAUAUUGGACAAUGGGCGAAAGCCUGAUCCAGCAAUGCCGCGUGAGUGAUGAAGGCCUUAGGGUUGUAAAGCUCUUUUACCAGGGUUGAUAAUGACAGUACCUGGAGAAUAAGCUCCGGCUAACUCCGUGCCAGCAGCCGCGGUAAU
rnacentral:rRNA from 1 species